CUACGGGUGGCUCCAGUGAGGAAUAUUGCACAAUGGGGGGAACCCUGAUGCAGCAACGCCGCGUGGAGGAUGACGCAUUUCGGUGUGUAAACUCCUUUUAUGAGUCAAGAAAAUGACGGUAGCUCAUGAAUAAGCACCGGCUAACUCCGUGCCAGCAGCCGCGGUAAUACGGAGGGUGCAAGCGUUACUCGGAAUCACUGGGCGUAAAGGACGCGUAGGCGGGUUGUCAAGUCAGGUGUGAAAUCCUACAGCUUAACUGUAGAACUGCACUUGAAACUGGCAGCCUAGAGUAUGGGAGGGGGAGAUGGAAUUAGUGGUGUAGGGGUAAAAUCCGUAGAUAUCACUAGGAAUACCUAAAGCGAAGGCGAUCUCCUGGAACAUUACUGACGCUAAGGCGUGAAAGCGUGGGGAGCAAACAGGAUUAGAUACCCCCGUAGUC
rnacentral:rRNA from 1 species